CGCGUGUCUGGAGUGAAGUGAGGCCGUCGUACGGGUUACAAACGAGGGGGGUUUUAUCGUGCUGUUUAGCGCUAGGAGUUAUGGCAGCACCCCUGUUUCUCGGUGUAAAACAGUACUGUUAAUGUUAGAACUAACGCAGAACUGAAAUCUGCCUGAGAAACACUGUGUAUAUUGAGGCUCUGUGUAUUGUGAUGGCUCUGGGGAAGUGAUAAGGCUGACAGAAGUAAUGAAAAUGAAACAAUUUUAUGACUCGGAUCUUUCUUCUCUCUCUCUCUCUCUCUUUUUUUUUUUUUCCUUCUCCCCUCUGCCUUUAGACCAUCCAGAAAUACAGGAAGAAAUUUACAGAAAGGAUGAUAGGCUCCUCACUUUGCUAAAAGAUGUUUACGUUGAAUCUAGAGGUCCACCUGUGCAGGUAAAAGAUCAAGGUGGUGAACAUCUUCCAUGCAAACAGGAGGAAAAGAGACUUACAAAACUAGGUCAUUUGGAGGCUCUAGACGUUAAGAAAGUUCCCAAAGGCAAAAUUUCCAUUGUGGAGGCUCUGACACUUCUCAAUAAUCACAAACUUCAUCCUCAGAUAUGGACUGCGGAGAAAAUAGCAGAGGAAUACAGUCUGGAACUGAAGGAGGUCACCUCUCUUCUGGAAUUCUUCAUUCCUUUUGCUGUGCAGGAAUUUCCUACUGAAGGCAGAAAAGCUAUAAAACCAACAUAAAAAUAAUUACCAAAACCUUACGUGAUCUCACUGGUGUCUUAAUUUUACUCUGAAUGUAUUCAUUGUCUGAAAAGAAUUGUCAUCCAACAAGGCUACUUUCUUAUACCAGUAAGAUGUAUUCAGGCAAUUCCAUUCUGGCUUCAGUUAAACGCAGCAAUUAUUGGAGGCAGUUUGUAAACCAGAAUAUAACUAUUAAGUUGUAUUAAUGAGAUAAUCAGAGAAUCACGUGACAGCCUGUCAUAUGCCUGCGUUCACUUAAAAUAAGUAAGUUCUUGUUAGAACUUUCAUUAAAAUGGGUAGCCUUUCUUAACAGAGACUUCCUGGCUUUCAGCUAAAUCAGUGCUCUGUGUGCACCAGCUUUGUAGUUUCAUGUUAUGGUCCAUAUUCAAGGACUUAUUGUCAAGAUGUAUAUAUAAGAAUACUAUUAUAUUUGUUCUGUAUUAAAAUGGAAUAAUGUUUAUAAUUUGCAAAGAAGGAUAGUGAUGAGAAGACUUGGAAAAUUCAGCUCUAUCAAAAACUUAGAAUGAAGAUGAAUGGUGGCACCAGUGUUGAAUUCACAGCACUAAAAGUCCAGUUGUUCAGUGUGGGUGAACUUCGGGUGCAAAUGGAUUUAGGCUCUUGAGACUAUGGAAAUAAAGACUGGGAAAGUUCUACACAGAUUGACAUGUCAUCAGCAAUCAAAACACUAUGCUCAUCAACACUUACUCAUGGAUUCCUAUUCCUUUUGAAAGAAAUCUACAAUGUUGUACAUCUUUGAAGAAAAGUUAUUUAAAUUAUAUCAUAGGCUCAAAGCUGUGAUUAAAGGCUGAGGAGAUACUACUGAAAGUAAGUAUUUCUUUUUUUUUUUUUUCUUUCAGCAAGUAACAUAUCUCUUUGCAACGUAUAGGUUCCAUGACAUAUGUAAUUCUGCAGCCUUCAAAGAAUAAUGAAACCGCAAUGUUUCUGAAAGACCGUAAGGAAAAAACAUAGUUUUACUGACAGAGCACCCUAGGAAACCCUUGCUGGGUUUUUACACUCAAAAAUUUGUGUUUUCUGUAAUUCUGUUGUAGAAUUCUCCCCUUGCUAUAACAUUGUGCUCUAGCAUAUAACAUUUAAUUUUGCCAAAAUGUGCAAUUAUUUCUCAGCUGAAAAUGCAAGCUGGAAAAUCUGAACUGAGUGUGAACCAUACUACUCAAAUCCCCUUGAGUCUGCUGCAACCUAAAGCAAUAGCUCUGAGAAAUAUGGACUGCUCCCUUUGUCUUAACUGCCAGUUAGUUCUGAAAAGGAAGGAUGAAAAUUUAAAUCUAUUUAAAAUCAAAAGGCAGACUAUUAUAUUAGUACAUACAAGUAGCACAGACUACAAUUAUAUUAGUAUAAUUGAUUACAUAGGGCUUUUGAUGUGCUAUUUCUCUUCUCCGUCUUGAAUUUGGUUCAGACCUGUGCAGCAAUUUCCUUCAUUUUUAUAGGUUUUAACAGAGUAUGAAGGGCUUUUCUUAAAUAAACUUUUAUCCUUAAUCAAAGGGUAGUUUAGCACCUGCUUGCCGUCCCCUGCACAGAUCGUCUUUGGUUCCAGAAUUAGGAGGGAAAACAGUAGACAAAUGGAUACAAAUGCCAGGCUGAAGAAUGUUUCUUGAAGAGUUUUCAAACACAGUGUCCCUUCUACACAGGACAGUAGAGGGAUGCAUUGCAUUUGUACAGUCUUGAUCAGAAGGUUUGUUCCGAGUGCAAGAUAACUUGACUCCAAACUAACUUCAUUCAGUGCUGGUUUCACAUUAUUUCCAUGAUAAGGAGAAGUGAUUACUUAAGAGAUAGAAACCCAAUUUGCAUUCCAAUUGGCCAAACUGUUUCUAUGGUUGCAGAGUGGUAUCUAAAGAUUUAGCUGAAAAAGCAGUUUAAAGAUGAGAAAACAGCCUGUUGCAUCUUCUCAUCAGAUCUGCUAGAGUAAAAUGGAGCUCUAGGCUACAUAGGAAAUACAGGCAGGUUUUUUUUUGGCAUUGAAUCCUUGCAGAUACCCCUCUUCCCAAGUAAAACAAAACCAAAAAAACCCUGUGAAGUUCAUAUCCUCUAUUGCCAAAACUAUAGUGUAGUUGGCCUCUUUUGUGUGUUUUGUUGUUGUCUGGCAAAGCUUGCCAAAGACUUAUUAGAACAUCUUCAGUCUUACAGUAAGAUUCAGGGAACCUGAAUCAUGUGGGAAGGUGACUUACCAAUAUGCACCUAAAUGUGAAAUAGGAAAACAAGAAUAAUAUUUGUUUUAGCUAUGUGCUGCAAGGACACUUCACCCCACAUUUACUCAGAUAAAUCAUCACACAGAGCACUGACUAAUUUAUUGCUGUGUUUUUCUCUGUGGUUUAUCAUUAGAAAUAAUAUCGUCUUAUUUUUUCUGAACUCUGCUAGCAGUUAAAGUAUGAAUAAAAAAUGUAUAAUGAAAUAUAAUAAAUUAAUCUUGAGUUUUCCUGGGCAUUCUUUUUGACAUGCACCUCUCUUGCCAUGCUACAACUUUAUUUCUAUUUCAGAGAGGCUAUUUUUUAUUUUAUUUAUGAAAGUGCAGAUCAUUAGCAACACCUGUAAUUUCUAUACUAAUUUUCAGAGCUUGUCCUUAGGCCAUUAAGGUUAUACAGAGCCAAUUGCACUGGAAUAACAAGUAUUAGAUUCUUAUUAGCAUGCAGGAGCCGGAUGACAUAGUUAUAACAGGGGCUUGGCAACCUCCAUGGAAGUCAAGCAUAGUUAGCCAUCUGGGGAUUUAGGACGUAGGGGUUUAGGGGAUAAGGAACAGUCUUAGCGAAAGAAGGGGAAGAACUGAGUAUUUCAGCUGGGAAAGAGGUAAACCAGUUGCUACCUGAAACCAUUGGGUGCUGUGUUGGGUAGCACUGGCUGCCAUUUUAAGUUCACAGAAUUACAGAAUAACGUAGACCACAAGGGAAUAAUUUAGCUUGUGCAGUUGAGCUUUGUAUGCUUCCAAGUUUGGAGAGUCCACAGCUUCUCUGGGCAACCCAUUCCUAUGCUCAGUCAUCCUCAUGUGAAAAACUGUUUUUUGUAUGUGCAGGCAAGACUUCCCUUGUUGCAAGUUGUGGCCAUUUCCCCUUGUCCUUUUGCUGCAUGCCUGUGGGAAGAGCAACUGAGUUUUUUCUAUAACCGCCCAAAUUUGUCUCAGCAUGACCAGAACAUUAAAAAUCAUGGGGAAAGAAGUUUAACUUUAUUCAUCUGAGCCUAACUGCUUUGCUCGGAACGUCAUUCAUUCUGUUCUUGUUCCUGCUCAGAGCUAACUCUGUCAUGUCAUCUAUUAGGAGUGGAGAGAAAAGGUACUAAAAUAUAGCUUAAGAGACAAAAGAAUUGUUCAACAGCAGCACACAAGCAUGCAAUAUAAGGAUUAAUCCCACAGUUGUAAUACCAUCCUUCUUCUUCCUCCCACCUUGCUUGUUUUCUCCGUAUAUCCUUUGUACAAGGAAAUGUAUUUGCCUCAUGAAGGCACCAGCUGUGGUUCUGCGCAUGUGAACAGGAAAACAAAUGAAGAGUGAAAAACCCAAACUAAACUUCACUGUGUUUUUUUUCUUUGCAGUUUUAACACUGGAAAUAACGUUGCCUUAUUUUAUUUAAUGAACGGUAAUGUAGAAAAAUUGUAUGUAAACUCACAACUGCUCCUCGCCCCCAAGCAAUUUCUCUGUAGUUACAUUUUCUAGUAAUAAGGUUACAGGACUAACACUGCAGUCAGGCCACUUCAUGAAAGGAAUUGUUUCCAUUUAUUGCACAUUCGAACUAUUUGUAACUGUUAGUUGUUUUAUAAGGCACAAAACUUUAUGAUGUCGUUGGCAACAAGUCUAUCUUACAUUAAUUUAUGAUGCUUUGAUUCUUUUUGAUGGUAUUGAUACAUAGGCACAAGUGAGUUGAUAUUCUACGUUCUUGUCUCACAUUUUCACAGAGGUGCUACACAAAAUUGCACACCAUUUCUUAAUGCCUCAGGUCUGCAUUAGGCGUAUGAAGAAGUCCGGGCACAAUAACUGAUGUCUUUGUGUUUUGAUCAAUGCCUUAGCAAUGUGCACCAAACUGUUUUUAACUCUAUCAGAUAAAUCACUCAGGAGAACUGAUGUUUCCGUGGAACGACAGUGGCACCUAUACAUUUGUCUUUAUGGAAGGAGUUCAUCUUAAAUUUAGGUUAGUAGUAAAAGAAAGCUGAAAAAUUCUGACCUGCCACGUGGGGACUGCAGAAUGGCUGCGGGACACAGUGAGAAAACUUGUGCUCAGGUUCUGUGCUGGUACAGGCUGGUGUUAUUUUUGCCAUCAGUAUGGAUAACACAAGAAACAAGAACAGAAUGCAAUAAGAUAGACCUUUAGGUCCUGAUCCUGCCGUUUGCGUAUGUGAUUAUUUAUUUACAGAAACGUUCAGCUGACCUCAGGCUUCCGUUGAUACAAAUGAAGCAUGUGACCAAAAAUAUGAAUAAUUAGGUCUUCAUUUAAAAUUAGCUAUGAGGCUUUUGCGAAUUUCUCAAAAAGAAGGUUAUUUCAGUUAAGAUUCUGAAGUCAACUUUUUUUGUUUGAGAGAUGAAAAACAUUGAAGUACUCUUCCAUGAAAGUGUGAGGUGGCACCCAGUAAAGGUUUGAGUAGUAAAAGGCAUGAUAAUGCUGUAAUUAUGCGCUAUUGAUCUGACCACGUGAGAACACUUUAAAAGUACAGAUGAUCUUAAAUUCAAUUAGUCUAAUACCUUAGAGACUCCUUUUAAACACACACUGACUUUUAGUAUUAUGCCACUUUACAAAAUCUGACAUUGUACAUCAUAAGUCAGUAAAUGACACUACUUCAAAAACAGAAAAAAGAUAUGUUGCUUAUAGCUGAUUCUGCACAAGGGAGAAAGGUGUGCGCACGCACACAUGCACACCCUGUUAUCAUUCUAGUGUAAUAGCUUAGAUUUUGGGGCUAUGUAAGCUUACUCCAGGGUCCUAAGCUACCUACGGAUAUUCCUUUUACCUUUCUUUUCUCCAGUCUCCCAAAUGUAUUGCUUCCUCAGCUACUGUGUCAGAUGUGCGGGUUGGUUAGAUCCCAGGUAAGCAGACAGGCGUUUCGCCUGGCUGUACAGUUGAAAAUGCCUGCAUGCGAGCUGAAAGUCAUUUUUUUCAUGUUUAUCAUCAACAGCUAGAAAGCAACAAUAUUUUUUUUCUCUCUUAUUUUAAUAAACAAAUUGGACUCUUAUCCAGAUUUGCCACACAGGGUAGAUAUCAAGGAUUUAUAUAAUAUUAUUCAGUGUUUAGAAAAUAUUUAAUGUCACUACAGAGUACAAUUUGCAUUAUUCUCAUUUUUCAUGCCAACAUGAUUUGUAUGGCAGCCAAUGUAUGACAGAGAAUUUCCCUAAUUAAUUUUUUUUGCUGUGUUGCCCUAACAUGACUUAAAAUGUACAGCUUAAUGUAUUAAUAUUGCUUUUAGUUUCCAUUGUAUAGCAGGUAGUAAUUUGCUAUUAAUAGCAAAUGUUUACAACAAUCUUCAGACGCAUAUGUUCUAAUGAAAGUGAACAUCCAACAUGUUGGCUAAGGAUGAGUCAUAUUUCACAACAGCUCUACAGGGAAGAAGAUUUGAGUUGUGUAUUCAUUCAGAGUAAUGGC